rnacentral:rRNA from 1 species
UACGGAGGGUGCAAACGUUGCUCGGAAUCAUUGGGCGUAAAGCGCACGUAGGCGGCCUGAUAAGUCGGGUGUGAAAGCCCUGGGCUCAACCCAGGAAGUGCACUCGAAACUGUCAGGCUUGAAUAUGGAAGAGGGUCGCGGAAUUCCCGGUGUAGAGGUGAAAUUCGUAGAUAUCGGGAGGAACACCAGUGGCGAAGGCGGCGACCUGGGCCAAUAUUGACGCUGUAGAGCGAAAGCGUGGGGAGCGAACAGG